UACGUAGGGGGCUAGCGUUGUCCGGAAUCAUUGGGCGUAAAGAGCGUGUAGGCGGCUCAGUAAGUCCGCUGUGAAAGUCCAGGGCUCAACCCUGGAAUGCCAGUGGAAACUGUUGAGCUAGAGUCCGGAAGAGGCGAGUGGAAUUCCUGGUGUAGCGGUGAAAUGCGCAGAUAUCAGGAGGAACACCAAUGGCGAAGGCAGCUCGCUGGGACGGUACUGACGCUGAGGCGCGAAAGCUAGGGGAGCAAACAGG
rnacentral:rRNA from 1 species